UGGGGAAUAUUGGACAAUGGGCGCAAGCCUGAUCCAGCCAUGCCGCGUGAGUGAUGAAGGCCCUCGGGUCGUAAAGCUCUGUGGGUAGGGAAGAACCUCUGAGGGAACAAUACCCCUCAGAAUGACGGUACCUGCUUAGCAAGCACCGGCUAACUCCGUGCCAGCAGCCGCGGUAAUACGGAGGGUGCAAGCGUUGUUCGGAUUUACUGGGCGUAAAGGGCGCGUAGGCGGCAUGACAAGUCACUUGUGAAAUCUCUGGGCUUAACCCAGAACGGCCAAGUGAUACUGUCGCGCUAGAGUGCAGAAGGGGCAAUCGGAAUUCUUGGUGUAGCGGUGAAAUGCGUAGAUAUCAAGAGGAACACCUGAGGUGAAGACGGGUUGCUGGGCUGACACUGACGCUGAGACGCGAAAGCCAGGGGAGCAAACGGGAUUAGAUACCCAGGUAGUCCCUGAGCGGGCUGGCAAGGCGCAU
rnacentral:rRNA from 1 species